AUGCACGCUGGCGGCGUGCCUCAUACAUGCAAGUCGCGCGCACAGACGAGGAGCUUGCUCCUCUGACGUUAGCGGCGGCCGGGUGAGUAACACGUGGAUAACCUACCUAUAAGACUGGGAUAACUUCGGGAAACCGGAGCUAAUACCGGAUAAUAUAUUGAACCGCAUGGUUCAAUAGUGAAAGACGGUUUUGCUGUCACUUAUAGAUGGAUCCGCGCCGCAUUAGCUAGUUGGUAAGGUAACGGCUUACCAAGGCAACGAUGCGUAGCCGACCUGAGAGGGUGAUCGGCCACACUGGAACUGAGACACGGUCCAGACUCCUACGGGAGGCAGCAGUAGGGAAUCUUCCGCAAUGGGCGAAAGCCUGACGGAGCAACGCCGCGUGAGUGAUGAAGGUCUUCGGAUCGUAAAACUCUGUUAUUAGGGAAGAACAAAUGUGUAAGUAACUAUGCACGUCUUGACGGUACCUAAUCAGAAAGCCACGGCUAACUGCGUG
rnacentral:rRNA from 1 species